AGAUUACAGAACAUCACACCUUGGCGUGAUGAAAUCAUGCCAAGAUUCUGACUCUCCCUUUCCGGUGAUACUGCUCAUGAUUUCUCCUAAUACGCUUCAAGCAACUGUUACCACAAAAAAUACAGUUUCCGCAGGGCUUUAAAGGAUUGAGUUUAGCAUGUAUAUCAUGCGUUAUUAAAGUUCACGUGAUUCAUGUGAAAUUAACUGUCCUUUUUGCUAGUGCCAAAACAGUGCCUUCUCUGCACACUUUACUUGUUUAUAAAGUUCUCCCACAUGUCCUUAAAUAUCAAGGGGGAAAGUAUGGAUAUUCGCGUAGCAAUAAUGCCAGCAAAGGUCAUUUUCAUUUUUUAGUCAUAUAGAUAUGAAAAUAAGUUCAUAUAGAUAUGAAAUUGCUUGACUUUAUUGUUUUGGGGAGAUUUUUUUUCCUUACAUGAUUAUAUUAAACACUUUAAAAUAGCCUUCCGGUUUCUGGAUUUUGAGAAGCCUGAUCUGUUAUUGUUGUGGUUGUUGGUGUUUGUAAUAUUCAUUAUUGUUUGUAUAUACACGGUUUAGUCUUACUGAUUUCAAAUGCAUUUUGUUAUUGCUCAACCCAACUGGUAACACUGUUUGCUGGGAGCAUUAUACUUAACUUUGAUUCACCAUGGUUGAUGCCACUGCCAUGAUCGCUGGGUCUUAAAGAGCUUUCCCUAGCCACUGACAGCCCCGUGGAGAUCAUAAUCAGGGCCCCAGGCUGGUUCCAGGAUCAGGCAGCCUAUAGAGUGUGAGCAUCUAUGUGUAGCUACCCUUGUUGGGUGGGCUCUUAGACUGAUGGGGUAGGAUAUGAAGUGAAAGACUUCAAAUGCAAGUAAGGUAGUUUGGGCUCCUUAAUUCCAAACAUCCCAUGAGUAUAUCAAGAUGAAUAAGGACCAAGGGACCUCUGUGACUCAUAGAAGGGCUGGCUGAAUCCUGAAGUAGCAUAGUGGGACCUGGUCUACAAUUUAUGCACAUGCACUGACAGCCUUGCUGUGCCACGUGUCUCACCAAGACCCAGUUGGGAAAGAGCGUCAUAUUGCCAACAGGUUGGGUUUCUCUGGCCUACACCUGAUUAAUGGGCCCUUUAUCUUUGGUGUCCCCUAGGAGUGUCCAGUUGUUUUAUUGCUGUAUUUUGUUAUUGCAGUACUUAAUAAAAAUUGUUGAUAGGGCCCAAAACCCUACAGAAAUUCUAUGUCUGUAAAAACCAACAAAGGCAUUGGACUUGUGUGAAUGUACAGGGUUUUUUUAGUAGUAAUUUUAAAUUUAAAUGUUUUAAGUGAUCAUCAGUGUUCCUUUUUACUUAUAAAGUUGGAUUCUUUUUUAGAAUUUGUAAUAAAUAAAAACUGCUGCUUUACCACUGUAAAA
rnacentral:lncRNA from 1 species